rnacentral:rRNA from 1 species
AUGAACGCUGGCGGCGUGCUUAAUACAUGCAAGUCGAACGGAGAUAGUAGCAAUAUUAUCUUAGUGGCGAACGGGUGAGUAACGCGUUGGUGACCUGCCCCGAAGAGAGGGAUAGCAGUUCGAAAGGACUGAUAAUACCUCAUGUGGUUGUUGGUUUUAGAAUCUGACAACUAAACGGAUUUAUUCGCUUCGGGAGGGGCCUGCGUCCCAUCAGCUAGUUGGUAGGGUAAUGGCCUACCAAGGCGAUGACGGGUAGGGGACCUGAGAGGGUGGCCCCCCACAAUGGAACUGAAACACGGUCCAUACACCUACGGGUGGCAGCAGUAGGGAAUAUUGGUAAUGUGCGAAAGCGCGAACCAGCAACGCCGCGUGCACGAUGAAGGCCUUCGGGUCGUAAAGUGCUUUUGUCUGUGACGAAUAUGACGGUAGCAGACGAAUAAGGAUCGGCUAACUACGU